rnacentral:rRNA from 1 species
UACGAAGGGGGCUAGCGUUGCUCGGAAUUACUGGGCGUAAAGCGCACGUAGGCGGCUUUCUAAGUCGGGUGUGAAAGCCCCGGGCUCAACCUGGGAAUUGCAUUCGAGACUGAAUAGCUAGGGUACGGUAGAGGGAAGCGGAAUUUCCGGUGUAGCGGUGAAAUGCGUAGAUAUCGGAAGGAACAUCAGUGGCGAAAGCGGCUUCCUGGACCAGUACCGACGUUCAGGCACGAAAGCGUGGGGAGCA